rnacentral:rRNA from 1 species
UACGUAGGCAGCAAGCGUUGUUCGGAGUUACUGGGCGUAAAGGGUGUGUAGGCGGUUGGUUAAGUUUGGUGUGAAAUCUCCCGGCUCAACCGGGAGGGUGCGCCGAAUACUGAAUGACUUGGAGUGCGGGAGAGGAGAGUGGAAUUCCUGGUGUAGCGGUGAAAUGCGUAGAUAUCAGGAGGAACACCGGUGGUGUAGACGGCUCUCUGGACCGUAACUGACGCUGAGACACGAAAGCGUGGGUAGCAAACAGG